UGUGCCAGCAGCCGCGGUAAUACGUAGGGUGCGAGCGUUGUCCGGAAUUAUUGGGCGUAAAGAGCUUGUAGCGACGGCUUGUCGCGUCUGCUGUGAAAGCCCGGGGCUUAACUCCGGGUCUGCAGUGGGUACGGGCAGGCUAGAGUGUGGUAGGGGAGACUGGAAUUCCUGGUGUAGCGGUGGAAUGCGCAGAUAUCAGGAGGAACACCGAUGGCGAAGGCAGGUCUCUGGGCCAUUACUGACGCUGAGAAGCGAAAGCGUGGGGAGCGAACAGGAUUAGAUACCUGGUAGUCAAGGC
rnacentral:rRNA from 1 species